AACAUAAAUAUAAAAAAUCAUUUAUAUAUUAUUCCCAUUAAACAAAACCCUAAUCAUUAAUCACUCUUUCUCUUUCUCUCUCAGUUCUUGUAGCCGCCCACUGCGCAGAAGAGUCGACGACGACGGAAACUCCCCCACUCGCCGACGACGGCGGUGCAGGUUCUCCCCUACUCGCAGACGACGACGCCGCAACUUCUUCCUCAGCUCCUCUCUCGCAAACGGCAACGAUGCAGGUUGAUUUAUAGUGAGUUGAGAUCAGUUAGGACACUUCUGUGAGAAGUUAUGAUUUAUUGUCUCGCCUAGCCAAGAGAUUUUUUUUCAUAAGUUAAUAACAAAGGAAUCAGAGAUAAAAAAAAAACAAACCAAAACAAAGGAAGCACUUGUUUCCUUGUUUUUCUCUAUCGUGCGAGGCUUCAUAUUUGGUAAUUCCGUAGCUUCAGUUCAGCUCUUACAUGAGAACAAUCACCCACGAAAUCUUUUUAGCUAUAAACCCAAUCUAACCCCAGAUUACUACGUUUUUGUUUUUUGUUUCUCCUUAAAUUUCUUAAAUUUUUCUUUUUUGUUGGUUUUUGAUGUAAAUAAAAGGUCCAUUUCUUAUGCUAUUUUCUCCACUCUGUCAUGCUGAUUUCAAGAUUCCAUAAAAGGGUAUCCAAAUUCUCAGCAAUGAUUUCCCAACUCAAUCUCAAUCAUUUACUUCAAUUCUCUCCUUUCGUGUAUGAAAGAGCCACUAUUACGCAGAACCCAUCUUUUAUUUAUCUAAAGUUCCAAUUCUUUUCCAGUUCUAGAAUAUCUUACAAUGGUUCAUUCUUCGAAUCUGCAUAUUCUUCUGGUUCUUCUCCCAUGGCGACUAUUCGGGUCUCGAGGAUUGUGAAAACUGAAGCCCAGGAAGCAUUAUUUGAUUACCUUCACUUUACCAGGAACAUGGGCUUCACGGACGCUGAGCAUAUCAGUAAGAACUCCCCAACAUUCGUUCAGAGUUUGCUUUCCGAAAUCGAUACCGACAAAGAUGUUGGCCGAUCGUUAACCAGGUUUUUUCGUUACCACCCCAUUAAUGAGUUUGAACCAUUUUUAGAGAGCUUGGGUCUGUGCCCAUCAGAGCUCCGUUUGCUUCUUCCAAAACACCUAAUGUAUUUGAGUGAUGACCCUUCUAUGCUUGAGAACUAUCAUGUCUUAUGCGACUACGGAAUUCCCAGAAUUAAGAUUGGAAACAUGUAUAAAAAAGCAAAAGAGAUUUUUGGAUAUGACUCUGGUGUAAUGUAUUCGAAACUUCGGGGUUAUGAGAAUCUGGGUUUGAAGAGGCAUACUGUAAUUAAGCUUGUUAGCUCUUGUCCUUUGCUUUUGAUUGGUAGUGUUGACUCUGAUUUUGUAGAAGUUCUUCGAAAAUUGAAGGGAUUAGGGAUUGAAAACGAUUGGAUUGGAGGGUAUGUAUCUAGUUACACCACUUACAGUUGGAAGAGAAUGAUUGAUACAAUAGAAUUUCUAGAAAAGUUGAAGUAUAAUGAGGAACAGAUGCGUAGUUUAUUUAAAACAAAUCCUCAAUUGUUGCUUGAAGGUUCUGGGAAGAGAAUCUUUGCAUUGUUUGGCAGGUUACUCAAGUUGGGUCUGAAGAUGGACGAUGUCUGCAUCAUGUUUAAGCAAAAUUCAAAAAUCUUUUCUUGGAAGUGUUCGAAAAAUAUUUUGCAGGCAGUGGAUUUUUUGUUGGAGAUUGGAAUGCCUAUAAAAGAUAUUGCUGAAAUUGUGACUGAACACAUGGAAUUCAUAGGGUUGUCUACUUUAAAAGGACCUAGAACUGUUUAUAAAGAAUUGAAGGUUGGUAGAUCUGGUCUUUGCCAACUUAUGAAGGAAGACCCUUUAAGGGUGUUAAGAUUAGCAACGAAAUUGGAAUUGAAGCGCAGUGAACAUGUACCAUGCCCCAAUCCAAGUAGUCAUUUGGAAAAAGCAUCAUUCUUGGUGAAUUUGGGGUAUGUUGAAAACUCGGACGAGAUGACAAAAGCUUUGAAAAAAUUCAGAGGUAGGGGGGAUCAAUUGCAGGAGAGAUUCGAUUGCCUGGUACAGGCUGGUUUGGACUGCAACGUGGUAGCAGAAAUCAUAAAACGUGCUCCUAUGGUUCUAAACCAGAGCAAAGACCACAUUGAAAAGAAGAUUGAUAGGUUACAAAACUCUAUAGGCUAUCCACUGGAAUCUCUGAUUGCUUUUCCAAGUUAUCUAUGCUACAACAUGGAGCGAAUCGACCUUAGAUUCUCAAUGUAUGUGUGGUUGAGGGAUAGAGGUGCAGCCAAGCCUAUGUUGAAAUUGAGCACUCUUCUUUCAUGCUCAGAUUCAAGAUUUGAGAAAUACUUUGUUGAUAUCCAUCCUGAAGGUCCAGUUGUGUGGGAAAGUCUAAAAGCCCCAUCAGCUUCAACAUUGGAAUAAGUCUGUCUCCAGUUUUCACAAUGUUGUCUUAUACAAGAAGCUGCUAUCCACAGUGGAUCUCACAAAAGAUUUCUGUCCACAGUGAAUGACUGUAAAGCAGGACAAUUUGGGAAUGAGUACUUGCCUCGUGGAAUCCGAAAUAAUCUUAAUAAUACUUUAUGGACAAUUGCCUUAGUGUAUGGUUUCUUUAAACAGUUUGAGCUCUCUGUUUCUGAUCGGAUCUUCAAAUUAAUUCUCAUUGCUAGACGCUCUCACGCCAUUAUGUUGGCACCAGAUACUCGAAACGAGGUGCAAAUGAGAAGGGUAGAGUCGCCAAGAACAGACUGUAAUUGCAAAUGCUACUGAAGAUUGCCCGACUCAAAUUAGUUCUGUUGUACAGAUUCGGGGCUCAAUUCCACUUUUCUGGUCACAGGAAACAUCAGGAAUAAACAUAAUAAAACCUGACAUUAUAUGUAUGAAUUGCAAAAUCCCCUUUUUAUGAGGCUACAAGAUUUUGAGAAUCUAGUCAAGAGGUAUGGAAAUCCAAUCAUCAUUUUAAAUUUCAUUACUUGAAGAACUAUUAAAAUGCUGAGCAAUGGAUGCGACUUAUUUAUUGGUUGUAAUGAUAAUACUUGAGUUAGCAA